rnacentral:rRNA from 1 species
UAAGGAAUAUUGGUCAAUGGACGCAAGUCUGAACCAGCCAUGCCGCGUGAAGGAUUAAGGCCCUCUGGGUUGUAAACUUCUUUUAUAGGGGAAGAAAUGUGACGGUUCUCCGUCACUUGACGGUACCGGGAGAAGAAGCUGCGGCUAACUACGUGCCAGCAGCCGCGGUAAUACGUAGGCAGCAUGCGUUGUUCGGAGUUACUGGGCGUAAAGAGUGCGUAGGCGGUUUUCUAAGUUCGGUGUGAAAUCUCCCGGCUUAACUGGGAGGGUGCGCCGANGACUGGGAAGCUGGAGUGUGGGAAAGGCAGGCGGAAUUCCUGGUGUAGCGGUGAAAUGCGUAGAUAUCAGGAGGAACACCGGCGGUGUAGACGGCUUGCUAGACCAUAACUGACGCUGAGGCACGAAAGCGUGGGUAGCAAACA